rnacentral:rRNA from 1 species
AGAGUUUGAUCAUGGCUCAGAGCGAACGCUGGCGGCAGGCUUAACACAUGCAAGUCGAACGGGCGUAGCAAUACGUCAGUGGCAGACGGGGUGAGUAACGCGUGGGAACAUACCUCUUGGUUCGGAACAACACAGGGAAACUUGUGCUAAUACCGGAUAAGCCCUUACGGGGAAAGAUUUAUCGCCGAGAGAUUGGCCCGCGUCUGAUUAGCUAGUUGGUAGGGUAAUGGCCUACCAAGGCGACGAUCAGUAGCUGGUCUGAGAGGAUGAUCAGCCACAUUGGGACUGAGACACGGCCCAAACUCCUACGGGAGGCAGCAGUGGGGAAUAUUGGACAAUGGGCGCAAGCCUGAUCCAGCCAUGCCGCGUGAGUGAUGAAGGCCCUAGGGUUGUAAAGCUCUUUUGUACGGGAAGAUAAUGACGGUACCGUAAGAAUAAGCCCCGGCUAACUUCGUGCCAGCAGCCGCGGUAAUACGAAGGGGGCUAGCGUUGCUCGGAAUCACUGGGCGUAAAGGGUGCGUAGGCGGGUUUUUAAGUCAGAGGUGAAAUCCUGGAGCUCAACUCCAGAACUGCCUUUGAUACUGAAAGUCUUGAGUAUGGGAGAGGUGAGUGGAACUGCGAGUGUAGAGGUGAAAUUCGUAGAUAUUCGCAAGAACACCAGUGGCGAAGGCGGCUCACUGGCCCAUAACUGACGCUGAGGCACGAAAGCGUGGGGAGCAAACAGGAUUAGAUACCCUAGUAGUCC